GUAAAUAACUUAAUGGUAGAGCAUAGCCUUGCCAAGGCUGAGGUUGAGGGUUCAAGUCCCUCCUGCUCCU